rnacentral:rRNA from 1 species
GACAUCCAGCGAACUUCCAGNGAUGGAUUGGUGCCUUCGGGAACGCUGAGACAGGUGCUGCAUGGCUGUCGUCAGCUCGUGUUGUGAAAUGUUGGGUUAAGUCCCGNAACGAGCGCAACCCUUAUCCUUUGUUGCCAGCGAUUCGGUCGGGAACUCAAAGGAGACUGCCGGUGAUAAACCGGAGGAAGGUGGGGAUGACGUCAAGUCAUCAUGGCCCUUACGAGUAGGGCUACACACGUGCUACAAUGGCGCAUACAAAGAGAAGCGACCUCGCGAGAGCAAGCGGACCUCAUAAAGUGCGUCGUAGUCCGGAUCGGAGUCUGCAACUCGACUCCGUGAAGUCGGAAUCGCUAGUAAUCGUGGAUCAGAAUGCCACGGUGAAUACGUUCCCGGGCCUUGUACACACCGCCCGUCACACCAUGGGAGUGGGUUGCAAAAGAAGUAGGUAGCUUAACCUUCGGGAGGGCGCUUACCACUUUGUGAUUCAUGACUGGGGUGAAGUCGUAACAAGGUAAGCGUAGCGAG